rnacentral:misc_RNA from 1 species
AACCUAGCACACCUGCGGUGUGUACCUGCGGAAGAUCAUUAAAAGAGUUUUGGUUUUGGAAACAAAACCGACCCUUCAACCCACCUGUACUACCCUUCUCUCGUUGCCUCGGGGGGAGAGUCUCGUCGUUAGGCGAGAGACCCCCGGUGGACAUUACAAACCCGUUUUUACUUUGAAGUCGGAGUAAUUUGAUUCAAAUCGAAACAAAACUUUUAACAACGGAUCUCAGAUCGGAAGAGC